GAUAAAUCAUGUCACUGUUGCAAAAUGUGUUUUCUUACAAAGAGAUUAUGUAUUUGUCCCAGAGAACAACCAAGAAACACACUGAUUUUAAUAGGCUCCUUUUCUAUCAAACAGAUCCAGCUUAGUGACUCAGGAAAACACCGAGGAAGAAAAGUCUCUUGAUCAGUCCCUGGAAUCUAUUGAGGUAAAGUCACAUUCUCUAGCUUUAGGUCUUUUUUUACAGUCUCUUAGGAGCUUCCCUUAUUAUUCUUUUCAUACCAGCCUUUUCCUUUUUAUAUUAGGUUGCUAUAGAUAUAGGGUACAGCCAUGCUCUGGGUCCCUUGAAGGGACUUCCAUUCUUCUGAAGAAAAAAUGCUUUCGUUAAUAGGGCAGGCCUGGAUCCCAGUAGCUCCUGUGUACAGAUAUUAAGAGGAGCGUCUCUGCCAAUGUACUUAGGCAGAACAAUAAAGCAUCUUUACAGCCCAGACUCACCAGAGCCACUAUUGAUUCACUGGCAUGUGUUCUCUCAAUAGUAAAAGGCUGCCAGGAUUUACUCGCUCAGCUUUUCUCUCUCCUAGGCCGUCAUUAUUCAGUGUAAAACUCCUUUAACCUGGUGGAGUUGUUGCUCUUGCUAAUACUGUGUUAGCAAAUUAUUGAUCCCAAUGAUGAGAACAGGAAUCGUUUCUCCUGUAGCAGGAUGUGCAAUUGGAUCUACAUUCUGCCUUGGUCACUUUACUGGGUGGUUACUAAUCCAAUUAUAUGUGACUAGGAUUUACAGCAUCUUCUGUGGACCCAGUCCUGUAAUAGAUUCUGAAGAUCUUAAAAAAAAAAGAAAAUUGAGCUUGAUGUUCUACUCUGAGGCUUUCAGAAUGAUCUUUAAAAUUUUUUAUUGAAAAGGAAAUAAAGUUUUGAAUAGAAACAGACUUGAAGAAAAUCACAUCUGAAUUAGAGUGACUGAUUUUUUUCUUCCUUCCCCUAGAACAACAUUGAGAAUUGAAAGUUCUCACUGUUCAUUAUGUUGGUCAGAAAGUGAACUUUGGAUGCAAAACACUGUGUGAUUAAACUGAGACUUUAAAAGAGCACUCUAAAUGAAUUGUGUGGUGCCCAUUCUCUACAGAAGUAUUCGAAGAAUGUUGACAUCUCAGAUGGCACAUUAUUUUCUAUUUUCUUUCUGAGAUGUACUGACGGAUAACAGAAGCUAAUUGUUUAUUUGUUUAAUAUGGGUUGCUGACUUGAGUAUGUUUUUUAGAGCAAGAAAGUAAAUUUAUAUCUCCAAGGUCUCAAUUGAAUUUCAUAUCAGGAAGAAGUGCUUAGCAAACUGUUGACCUUACAGUGCUCAUUAGGUAAGGAAAACAAUUAAGGCAGAAAACUUCACUUUACAUUAUACAGUAUAUAACAGAUAUGUAAAAUAUUUUAUGUAAGUGAUCUUCCAUGCCAGAUUAUGAAUUCCAAAGAGACAUUUACUAUUCUGAAAUAAAAUGUAAGUGCUACUUUAUUAAGCAAUAGUAUACAAAAUUUGAUAUCUCAAUUUUAGCACAUGUUAAAGUUAGGAGGAUAAAUGUCUAUCUCCUUUUAAGAUGAUAAAUGCUUCGAAUCAGCAAUCUUGACUUUUCAUGUCUGUACGCUACCAUAGCAGUGAUUAUUGUGGUUUACCCAGUGCUUGCUGUCGUGGGAUGGGACUUUUCACUGAUAUUUGUUAUAAUUCAGGUUCCACAUAAUAUUCAGUUGACAUCAUUGGAUCAUUUGGCUUUAUUUUUUCAUCUUUCUCACUCUGGACACUAAAUGGAAAACUAGAACUGGGAAGGAAAGGGUGAUGGGAAAUUUAGAGAAAAACAAGAGAAAGGUGGGAAAAAAUUAGCCUAUAUUUCUGUGUUUUAAAAUAAUGUCAUCAUAUCAUUUACUAUUUAUAUUAUUAAUGUAUUAAUAACUAGGAUUUACAGAGUGCUUUCUUUGGAUCCAGCUCAAUAGUAGAUCCUGAAAGAUAUAUAAAUAAAAUCAAGUUCAGUUGUUCAUCCUGAGGAAUUAAUGACAGCUUUCCAUUUGAACUGGACUCAUAAAAAGGAUAAUUCUGUCUGGAUCUUGGUAGAAAAGUUAAAAAGCUAUUAUUUAGAGUUGACAACAUAUAUGUAAAUAGAGAUGAAAACGAGAUUGGCCUUGUUAUCUACUUUAAUAAAAUGCCCCAAAUGCAUCCCAAUAUACAUCAACAGUUUCUGCAUUAGCCAUAGCAUAUUCUUAUCAUUUCUUAUAUCUCAUAUUUAAAUAUUCUAAUCAGUGAAAUGAGAUUUUUUCCUAUAUUCCAAAAAAUAUAAUGCUCGUAUUCUUUUGGCUUGAAACUAUAAAUUUUAGAAAAUUACAAAACCUGAAACAUCUAAAAGUAGUCUUUCAUGAAUGUCAGUAAAAAUGGAAAAAGUGGUUUGGAUGUGAUGUCUUUGCUACUGAAAAGACCAUUAAUGUACAAAUCAAAGUAACAUAUACUUUAUGAAUAAUAAAUAAGCAAUCAUGGGGCACCAAAUUCGAUCUUAAAAAUAAAGGCAUGGAUGCAAAUAACGUAAUUGAAAAUCUUACAAUCUAUUUAUGUGCAUUAAUGAAAAGGAACGAAUACUCCUUCUGCCCUAUCCCUCCCCAUCCUUUUAAGUGGAGGCAAUGAAUACAUCAAUUGUGAGGCUUAACAACUGGGGUUUAGUAAAGCAUGCUUGAUUAAUUUUUACUGAGAUUUCCAAAAUAAAUGAGAAAGAACUCACCCUAUUCAUUAUAUCAGCGAAGGGAAAGGGAUCUUGAUGGUAUUUGACUGCAUCCAACUGAUCAAAUGACAUUCUAGCUAACCUCAGAAAUGGGUUUCUGGCAGAGAAGAAAUUUUCUUUCUGAAGAUGAGGAGCAUUGAAGUAUCUCAGAAUUGCUGCAGCCCAGCCUCUUUACAAUAGUAGAAAAAUAUAAAUGAAGACCACAGCAGCAGUCAAAAGAGCAACGACAACAGCAAAAACAGCCUGUAGGAGAUGUCAAGGCACAGAACCUACAUUUGGAAAAAUCAGAAGUUGCAAACAGAAAACUAUCCACAAAAUAAUGUUCCCUUUAGGUUAAUUUUAACUGCAUGUAGUCAUGUUUUCUGAGUAGAAUGAAAUAUUGAGAUUAUUUUUGUUUUAUAUCAGGUUUAUCUCUACAGUAUGAUACUAAUAAAUCAGGCAGUAUACUCUUCAAUGGCUUUGAUUCAUCUUUGAUUUUUCUGUGGUUUAUAUCACUAGUUCAGUAUAGUUAUUUCUAUACAAUAAUAGAACUCAGUUUUAAAACUCAUAAUUGCAAGAUGGCAUUCUGAUAGUAUAUAUAGCUAACUGUUUAGCUAUAUAAAGCAGAAAGAAAGGGAACAUAAAGGGUCCAAGUUUCAAUAACUCCCUGUCUUCAAUUUUAUGAAUAAUUUUUAAAGCCUCUAAAAAAGGAACACACCGAUUUUUUUCUUUCCUUUAAUAACUCUCAAAUGGAGAUAUUUCUAUAUGUUCUGAGCUUUCCCAAAUGCUAGAAAUGAUGGGCAAUAUGCAGAGAUAUAAAUGUUGAAUGUAUGGCAAUUGUCCUCACAGGGGUUUCAAAAAAGCUAAAUUGGAAGAAAAGGAAAGUACCUAUAUUUACAAUAAAAGCAAAGAAUACAAUAGAGUAUAACAAUAAAGCUUAAUUAUUUUACAUGGAUUAUAAAUGUUUUAUGAUGUUCAGGGUAGUUGAAAUUACUAUGGAAUAGAAAAUGUUUACAUAAGCAAUAGAGGUCAAAGAGAUAAUAUUAUUUGUGAGGUAGCAAUUAUUAGGACUUGUUUUUAUGACCUUGCUCAUCAAAACAGGAUGAAGCAAAAACAUCAGCCAAGACAAGCCAGGACUAUAAAAUAUAAUAUAUUUGCAUAAGACGCUCCCACCAGCACCAUGAUAGUUUACAAAUGAUGCCACAGCAAUUACCUAGAAGAUACCUUAUAUGGUUCUGGGAACUCCUCAACCGUUUUCCAGAAAGUUCAUGAAUAACACACUCCUGUUUGGCAUAUAAUUAAGAGUGAGUAUAAAUACAGCUAACCAGCAAUUCAUAAAUGCUACUCUGGGCCACUAUGCCUAUGAGAUAGUCUUGCUUUGUCUAUGGAGCAACCAUUUUGCUGCACUGUUACUCUAAUAAACUUGUUUUCUUUCACCAUCAGCUCACUCUUGAAUUCUUUUCUGGAUGAAGCCGAAAACUCUCUUGACCUGAGCCCAAUCUGGGGCUUCACCAGCAUCAUUUACAAGUCUUCUUAGAAUUCCUCCUAAUUCAUUAGUGUGGAAAUAUAAGUGAAAAACAUAUUAAAGGGGAAAACUGAGAUAUAUUUCUUCUGAAUUCUAUGUGUUUUAAUAUUAAUAGAGAAUGUUAGAGUACCAAAUUUUAGAUUAUUUUAUACCUCUUUUUAUAUCUCAAGUGCCACUUGUUUUAAUUCGUUCUUCAUACUCUUGAUCAAGGUUCUAUCACAACUAGGAACUCAUAGACUACACCUGAUCAUUAGUAGCUUCCAAGUCAUUAACUUAGGUUGGCUUCCACAUGAAACAGAGUUGGAGAUAGAAAUUUUCAUAUAAAAGGUUUGUUGAAAAGUACUCUCUGGGGACUUUUCCAUUAUGCAAGUGAUAGAGGCAAGAUUAGGCAGAAGGUAAAAUUUAGCAGUGAUACCUUUGCAACAGAGGCUUGACCAAUCCCACAAAAGCUCUGUAGUCGUAUGGCACUUCAGAAAUGUCCAAACUUGGG
ensembl:lncRNA